rnacentral:rRNA from 1 species
GAUGAACGCUAGCGGCAGGCCUAAUACAUGCAAGUCGAGGGGUAAGGUCCCGAUUUAUCGGGAUACACGACCGGCGCACGGGUGCGUAACGCGUAUGCAACCUACCUUUAACAGGAAGAUAGCCCCAAGAAAUCGGGAUUAAUAUUCCGUAACAAUAAUAUGUGACAUCACAAAUUAUUUAAAGCUCCGGCGGUUAAAGAUGGGCAUGCGUAAGAUUAGUUAGUUGGUGAGGUAACGGCUCACCAAGACAGCGAUCUUUAGGGGAUCUGAGAGGAUAAUCCCCCACACUGGUACUGAGACACGGACCAGACUCCUACGGGAGGCAGCAGUAAGGAAUAUUGCGCAAUGGAGGCAACUCUGACGCAGCCAUGCCGCGUGCAGGAAGACGGCCUUAUGGGUUGUAAACUGCUUUUAUAAAGGGAUAACUCCCCCGACGUGUCGGGGGCUGAAGGUACUUUAUGAAUAAGCACCGGCUAACUCCGUGCCAGCAGCCGCGGUAAUACGGAGGGUGCAAGCGUUAUCCGGAUUCAUUGGGUUUAAAGGGUGCGCAGGCGGAUUAUUAAGUCAGUGGUGAAAUCCCGGGGCUCAACCUCGGAACUGCCAUUGAUACUGGUAAUCUAGAAUACGGUUGAAGUGGGCGGAAUGUAGCAUGUAGCGGUGAAAUGCAUAGAGAUGCUACAGAACACCGAUCGCGAAGGCAGCUCACUAAGCCGAUAUUGACGCUCAGGCACGAAAGCGUGGGUAGCGAACAGGAUUAGAUACCCUGGUAGUCCACGCCGUAAACGAUGAUAACUCGUUGUUGGCGACACACAGUCAGCGACUAAGCGAAAGCGAUAAGUUAUCCACCUGGGGAGUACGAUCGCAAGGUUGAAACUCAAAGGAAUUGACGG